GUUUGCUUCAGCAGUACAUAUGCUAAAAUGGGAACAAUACAGAGAAGAUUAGCAUUGGCCCCUGUGCAAGAAUGACAUGCAAAUUAUUGAAGUGUUCCGUAUUUUA
rfam:Gorilla gorilla gorilla genomic chromosome, chr1, whole genome shotgun sequence